rfam:Ipomoea nil DNA, scaffold: scaffold2086, cultivar: Tokyo-kokei standard.
GUCAAUAUGUCCGAGUGGUUAUGGAGAUAGACUUGAAAUCUGUUGGGCUUUGCCUGCGUAGGUUUGAAUCCUGUGCUGACG